UGAACAAUGACUGUAGGAUAAUAAUAAAUGGAGUUGAAAAUCAUUCAUUCCUACAUAUUAUUAUCAAAUCGAAUGCCAGCUUGAGAUAAGUAUCCAAACAAGAAUUUUGUCUACUUGUAGUUUGGACACAUGGAGAAACCUUAAUUCAUUCCAUAAAGUGUGAUCGAAAAUUCUGGCAAGAAAAGAUGUUUGCUAGAAUUGAACGAUUUUAUUUCAAUUGUUUGCUACCAGAAUUGGUGGAUUCACCUAAGAAAAGAAGUUUAGAACCUGUUGACAAAUCUAGCAAGCCAACAGAAUUCCAAAGUAUUUGCCUCCAUAAGUAGAAAAGAUAAAAGUUGGAAUCGAAGUCAAAACAGAAACCGAAAUGGACCCCCGAAUGGCUCAAGCUCAGGAAAUUGACAAUAACAAAAAUGGUGGUCAAAGCACCGUCUGCACCUCAGGGCUCCUGCUCAGCACCGCAGUCGGCGUCAAUGGCGCCACCUCAGCCAUCAGAAGUAAAAUUCCUAAUUAUAAAAAGUAAGUAUGACUGUUGAUUUUAAGAUUACGUCUGACGGUGUAACUCGCUACAAAUGGAUGAGCACCUUCGAGUAUUACAAAUUCUGCCAAGAGAUAAAGAAAACGCACAUGAUGUCCCCCGAAGAGCCAAUGGACAUUGCACAAACAACAACUGAAUGUACAAUUUAAAAUCAUCAUGCAUUUUACCUAUGUCUUACUGUACAUGCCAUAAGUAUUUUUUCUUUAUUGUAUUCUUAAUACAUACCUAGUUUUUUGUUGUGCCGUAUAAUAAUUAUUUUGUACGCCGGCACUCCGGUGAGACGUACAAAAUUGUAAAGAAAAAUCUCCCCACUAUAGGAAGGAAUUCUAACCAUUUUCAACUAUACCAUU